rnacentral:rRNA from 1 species
UAAUUAGGCUGGAAGAGGAGUACAUGUCGUAACAAGGCAUAUUAUCCACCGGAAUGGAUAGUGUAGUUGUAUGAGGUUUCAUUUUGAAACCGUAGGUAUUUCAUCUUGUAUGGAAUACUGAUAUUAUUGAAUCCCUACAAAUAAGAAAUUGUCUGACUUUUUAUAUGGUAUAUAGAAAUAUGUACUUUAAAUGUCUAUACAACUUUCAACAGUGGAUGUCUUGGCUUGCACAUCGAUGAAGAACGCUGCGAACUGCGAUACGUAAUGCGAAUUGCAGAAUUCAGUGAGUCAUCAAAAUUUUGAACGCAUAUUGCACUUUCGGGUUAGUCCUGGGAGUAUGUUUGUAUCAGUGUCCGUUCACACACAAUUGUUUCAUGUAUAUGAAACAGAAUAUGAAGUGUCUUGUAUAUAUAAAACAAGUCCUUUUAAAAAGAGAUACCUACCUACAAACUCGUAAGAGAGGUAUGUAUUGUUUGCAUUUCAUAUAUUGUUUUGUAUGUACCUUCUUAACAAUGAGGAAUGGAAACAAAUUGCGGUAGUUUUAUCUGUACUUUUGUAUGGAUGAACAAUAUAUUGCUUUUUGUAUUCAUGCCUACAGUUUGGUUGUGGAUAUACUUGACAAGAAGUGUAGAAUGGUAUAUACUUGUAGUGUAGAAGCAUAUUGGGAAAACCAUUCCAAUUUGGACCUGAUAUCAAACAAGAUUACCCGCUGAACUUAAGCAUAUCAAAAAGCCGGGAGGGAAA